UUUUCUUCUCGAUUUUUUAGCUAAGAUCAAAGUGUAGUAUCAGUUCUUAUCAGCUUCAAUUCUGCAUAGUUAUCCAUCCAUUCAUUCCUUUGGUAACCGCUCUGAAUAAAUUUCGGUUACCAAAGUUUCCAUUAAUCCUU
rnacentral:snRNA from 1 species